GGCACUAUGGCCGAGUGGUUAAGGCGACAGAUUCGAAUUAAAGCUUAUCUGUUUCGGUUUCCGAGCGCAGGUUCAAGUCCUGCUGGUGUCG